GCAAGACGUUUCAAAAUUAUCAAUUAUCUGAAGGAUUUUUUAGCAACCUUCCUGUUGACCUGCUUCCAGCGUGCCAAUAUUUAGCCUUUUGUCUCUGGUUUCCUGCCUCUAGUCUUCUUCUGCAGCCCUACCAGAGGCCAUGCAUUCACCAGUCUCCUGCCAAGCAUCUCCAACUUUUCAGUCCUCCUCUCCCACCAGCUGAUUUACACGAAGCAUACAGUAUCAUCUGACUACUUCUGGGCCUCAGCUGUCUGCUGCAAGCGCAUCAUGAAUCGCUCCACGUCGUCAAAGCAGUGGUUCAUCAUCUCCUGAAGAAAAUCACUGUAUGUUUUAGCCAUUUACCAGAGCAACUUACAGAGAGUGUUUUAAUAAGUUAACAGUUCAUAUCACUGGUAAUUUAUUUUAAGUUUUUAGUGAAGUCAAACAACCUACUAUAUGCAAUCCAGUGCACUGCAAUAGGUACAUUUGUAAUGCUUAUACUGUUAAAUAUUUGAGAGUGUAUGAAAGAGGCAUUGACUCAUGUGCGAUCUUCUAAGGUGUUGUUAUUUUGUCGACCUUGUGGAGCACUAAAGCCAUAUGAAUAUCUUAUCAAAUGUAAUCCAAUACAAUAAACUAAUGCCUCAAAUAUUA